AUACCUUUCUCGGCCUUUGGCUUAGAUUAAGUGUAAUAUCUGUUCUUAUCAGUUUAAUAUCUGAUAUGUGGGUCAUCGGCUCACACGAUAUUAGCUCAACUUUUUAAGGGGGAGAUCCAUUAGAGUAACUUGCUAGUUGGGCCUUCGCCACUACAGCCAAGGCUUGAAGCACCCCAC
rnacentral:snRNA from 1 species